rnacentral:lncRNA from 1 species
AUUCCACAGCAGACAGGUUGCAGUGAAAAUCCAAAUGCACAAUGCAGUUUCUUCAGCAUCCUCAGGGAAAUAAAUUUACCUUCUAAAUACCUGUAUAAGGUGUAUCUAAAACAUAAGCAGUUUCUUCAGUGUCCCCAGGGAAAGUAAAUUUACCUUCUAAAUACCUGUAUAAGGUGUAUCCAAAACAUAAGCGAGUUUUGCGUUUAGAUGGGUCACAUCCCAAGGAUAUCUCAUAAGGUGAUGAGGCUCUGAAACCAGGGUCAGAGACAUAGGGACAAGAACCACUGAUGGUGACGAAACAACGAGGCCACCCUCCUGUCAGUGAGAGGGGGCCAAGGCGAAGCCGGACACUGGACGGAGCGAAGCGUGGACACCUGCUGUGCAGACGUCUCCACGUGGACAAAGGCCAUCUGCCUCACAGACUCACCGAGAACCAGGCCAAACCCGGCUUUACAUACGUGAAUAUUAUGCUGCCCCAUCAAGAAAGCUGCUGAGUGAAACAUGCAGUCGUUUGAAAACAACUGAGGAAGUCUGUAAUACAUAAUGAAUAGAAGGCAUUAUUCUUGAGCACUUGAGGAAAAUGAGAUAUGAAUCGGACUCCAUGUUGAAAAAUAUGCAUAAUAUCAAGAUUAAACUAAAUAAAAAUGGGACCAUAGGAACUUUCACUAUACUAUUUAUUAACUCCUGGAAAGUCUGUAUCUAAAAUUUUGCUUUCUUAUCAGCACUUGCUGGUCAUUGUACUCUUGUAGUCAGAAGUGGGUAAAUUCUCAGACUGAGGUAGGAAUAAAUGCAAUUGACAUAUGUAAAUUCGUAAGUCCAAUCUCUGUCUCUUUUUUACUUUUUUUUUGAGAUAGAAUCUGGUCUGUCUCCCAUUCUGGAGUGCACUGGCGUGAUCUCAGCUCCCUGCAACCUCUGCCUCCCGGGUUCAAGUGAUUCUCCUGCCUCAGCCUCCCAAGUAGCUGGAAUUACAGACAGGCACACGCCACCAUGCCCAACUAAUUUUUGUAUUUAUAGUAGAGAUGGGGUUUUGCCAUGUUAGCCAAGCUGGUCUCGAACUCCUGGGCUCAGGUGAUCCACCCACCUCGACCUCCCGAAGUGUGGGAUUACAGGCGUGAGUCACCAUGCCUGGCUCCAAUUUCUUUCAAUGGAUGGCCCUAAAUUAUUUAAUCAUUCCCUUUAUUUGAAGACAGUCAAUAAGCUGGUGUUGAAUUAUUUUAAGAUCAAUAUGUUGACUUGUAAACUAUUUUCAUGUCUGUGAGUAAGCCAUUUUAUUUUUAUUUUACUACUUUCGCUGCGGCCAUUUCUCCUUCUUCCCUUUAAACGAAGUCUAGUGUCUUGAAGUACAUAACGGAUCACCUUGAUUAUCAUUUUUGCAAUUGGAAAGUUUGUUAGGAUGAUAUUUUCUAAAAGAAAGAAAUCUCUCCUUUGAAGUUAUUUAG